rnacentral:tRNA from 1 species
GCUGGUGUGGCUCAACGGCAGAGCAAUUGCCGAUGUUUGUGAUGGGUUGCGGGUUCAACUCCUGUCACCAACU